GGUAGGGUAGGGCUCAGUGGUAGAGCACAUGCUUAGCAUGCCUGGGUUCAAUUCCCAGCACAUCCA
rnacentral:tRNA from 1 species